rnacentral:lncRNA from 1 species
CAGCUUCGUACUUCUUUGGUCGUUUAGCAUUAUUUACAUGCUUCUUUAUUAUCAGUUUGAAAUAUCAAUAACCAAUAAUAUAAUUUAAGCAUAUAUGCACAAUAAUUUGUGUCAGCUUCCUUUUUGGUUCAGUUUGAAAAUACAUUAAUUUCAUAAUCAGAGUAUUAAUACAUUCGGGUAUAUCAAGAUAAAGAUUGGGACUAGCUACAUCGGUGGCCUCUUGAGCAACAGCAUGAGCUAUCACAUUGGCUUGUCGCCGAUUAAACUCUACCCUGGAGUUUGUGAAAGAUGAAGAAAGAGUAUCUUGACAUGAUGCAAUUAUUUGGCUGAACUCCGUGACAUCAAUGAUAUUUGAUGAAACUGCAUCAAAUGUUGUUUUAGAGUUAACCACAAAAUCAACAUUGUCGAACCACAUGUCUCGUAUGCAUUGUAAUGCAUGAUAUAAAGCAAGUGCUUCUCCUACAUUGACAGGCACUCCAGGGGCGAGAGACUCAUGGUCUUAGCUAACAUAUAAGCACCUUCAUCAUCGCGUAAACACAUGCCUAUCCCAACCCGGUUCAAAACAGUGGAAAACGCCGCACUAAUGUUACAUUUUAAACGACCCGGGAGUGGUUUCUGCCAACGAGUGAUGCCUGGAACACUAGUGGGCAGCAGCUGCUGCUGAACAGCAACGUGAGAAGGCAUGACAGCAGGAGAAAUAGCAGUAUCGUGCUGCUGUCUUGGUGAAGAAUUAGGAGCCAACCAUUCCUUUAUGACGCGUCGAGCCCAACCCACCACUUGAGCACAUGAUUCAUUCUUUUCCUAACAAAGUUAUAAAUUACGGUGCUUCCAAAUGCUCCAAAUUAUAGCUGCCAGCCUGUGACGAAGUUCCGAUUGAAGCUGCUGAAAUAGGAGGAAAACAGUUUCAGCUGCUGUUAAUGUGGACUGAACCGCAUGCUGCACUGCCUGCCAUAAUCCUGCCAAUUGCCAAACCUGAACAAAAAAUGGGCAGUUGAAGAAAACAUGAUCGAGAUCCUCUACCUGAUGGUCGCAACUAACACAAAAAGCCGGGUACAGAAACCCUUUAUAUUGCAGCCGCAUUCUAAUUCUUCUACACAACAGUGCUAUAGCAUCACUAUAGUCUCUACCUCACAAUAUUUCGUUCCAAGUAGUGCAUGAUGAAACAAUAACGAUUCGUUCAAAUUUCGCUAUGCAAUAGUGCUAUAGCCGGUAUUUAAGAACAACCUACCGAUUUUAAGUGGUGAUUACAAGGAGUGUCAUAGAGUAAUCAAUUCCUCAUCCACACACUCCAGGCACAUUUAACUAUUAAACGCCACAGACCAAAGCAGUGAAAACUAAAUGAUUCAUAUAUUAUGUAAUGAAUCUCUAUUAUUCUAUUGAAUGAAUGAUGAAAGCAUCGUACAAGAGUACCAAAAAAUGUGUCAUGAUUAAAAACAAAAAAUUGCUGCACAUCAUAAUACUAUAUUAGAGACAUAGGAAUUACACCAUAUAUAACAUUCUAAACAGAG